UGCCGCGUCGUCUAAUGGUAGGACUUCAGAAUUUGGAUCUGACUAUUGGGGUUCGAAUCCCUGCGCGGCAG
rnacentral:tRNA from 1 species